CCUGCUCAGAUUGAACGCUGGCGGCAGGCUUAACACAUGCAAGUCGAGCGGUAACAGGGGGUGCUUGCACCCCGCUGACGAGCGGCGGACGGGUGAGUAAUGCAUAGGAAUCUGCCCAGUAGUUGGGGAUAGCCCGGGGAAACCCGGAUUAAUACCGAAUACGCCCUACGGGGGAAAGCAGGGGAUCUUCGGACCUUGCGCUAUUGGAUGAGCCUAUGUCGGAUUAGCUAGUUGGUGGGGUAACGGCCUACCAAGGCGACGAUCCGUAGCUGGUCUGAGAGGAUGAUCAGCCACAUCGGGACUGAGACACGGCCCGAACUCCUACGGGAGGCAGCAGUGGGGAAUAUUGGACAAUGGGGGCAACCCUGAUCCAGCCAUGCCGCGUGUGUGAAGAAGGCUUUCGGGUUGUAAAGCACUUUCAGUGAGGAGGAAAACCUUAUGGCUAAUAUCCAUGAGGCUUGACGUUACUCACAGAAGAAGCACCGGCUAACUCCGUGCCAGCAGCCGCGGUAAUACGGAGGGUGCAAGCGUUAAUCGGAAUUACUGGGCGUAAAGCGCGCGUAGGUGGUUCGAUAAGCGAGAUGUGAAAGCCCCGGGCUUAACCUGGGAACGGCAUUUCGAACUGUCGAGCUAGAGUGUGGUAGAGGGUAGUGGAAUUUCCUGUGUAGCGGUGAAAUGCGUAGAUAUAGGAAGGAACACCAGUGGCGAAGGCGGCUACCUGGACCAACACUGACACUGAGGUGCGAAAGCGUGGGGAGCAAACAGGAUUAGAUACCCUGGUAGUCCACGCCGUAAACGAUGUCAACUAGCCGUUGGGGAUCUUGAAUCCUUAGUGGCGCAGCUAACGCACUAAGUUGACCGCCUGGGGAGUACGGCCGCAAGGUUAAAACUCAAAUGAAUUGACGGGGGCCCGCACAAGCGGUGGAGCAUGUGGUUUAAUUCGACGCAACGCGAAGAACCUUACCUGGCCUUGACAUCCUGCGAACUUUCUAGAGAUAGAUUGGUGCCUUCGGGAACGCAGUGACAGGUGCUGCAUGGCCGUCGUCAGCUCGUGUCGUGAGAUGUUGGGUUAAGUCCCGUAACGAGCGCAACCCCUAUCCCUAGUUGCUAGCAGUUCGGCUGAGAACUCUAGGGAGACUGCCGGUGACAAACCGGAGGAAGGUGGGGAUGACGUCAGGUCAUCAUGGCCCUUACGGCCAGGGCUACACACGUGCUACAAUGGCGCGCACAGAGGGCUGCAAACUCGCGAGGGUAAGCCAAUCUCUUAAAACGCGUCGUAGUCCGGAUCGCAGUCUGCAACUCGACUGCGUGAAGUCGGAAUCGCUAGUAAUCGCGAAUCAGAAUGUCGCGGUGAAUACGUUCCCGGGCCUUGUACACACCGCCCGUCACACCAUGGGAGUGGAUUGCACCAGAAGUGGUUAGUCUAACCUUCGGGAGGACGAUCACCACGGGGUCAGGGGG
rnacentral:rRNA from 1 species